UUUUUCUUUUUUUUUUCUUUUUUGAGACAAAGUCUUGCCCUGUCGCCCAGGCUGGAGUGCAGUGGCGUGAUCUCAGCUCACUGCAACGUGUCUCCCAGGUUCAAGUGAUUCUCUUGCCUCAGCCUCCCAAGUAGCAUGCCACCAUGCCCAGCUAAUUUUUGUAUUUUUAGUAGAGAUGAGGUUUCACCAUGUUGGCCAGGCUGGUCUUGAACUCCUGACCUCAAGUGAUCCGCUCGCCUUGGCCUCCCAAAGUGCUGGGAUUACAGGCAUGAGCCACCUUGCCCAGCCUGUUUUUUUUCAACAGAGGUGGGGUCUUGCUAUGUUGCCCAGGUUGGUCCCAAACUCCUGGGCUGAAGUAGUCCUCCCGCCUUUGCCUUCCAAAGUGUUGGGAUUGCAGGCGUGAGCCACUGCACCCGGCCAGUAAACAAGCUUUUCAUCGCUCCUGUUACAGAAGGGGAAACUGAGGCUCAGAGCAGGGAGGUGUCUAGGGCCGUGCGGUAGGACAGGAGGAAGCCAGGACUUACACCUAGAUCUGCCGACUUCAAGGCCCAGUUGGACAUGAGGGGGCAGCAGCCAGGUGGCCAGAUACCCAGGUGGCCAGAUACCCAGGGUAGGGAGGACACAAUGGGGCCCACUCCGGUUGCUUUGGGAGCUCCAUGGAGGGGUCAGGCCAGCUGAACUAAGAGGUAGGGAAGGAAGUCCAGGAAGAGGCCCCUGCACAAGCAAAGGCCUACAGGUGAGUCCAAGCAAAUGGACCUCCAGUCUCUGCAGAGGAGGAGUGAGUGGGCUGGCAGGUAGCUCCAGCCUGGGGCCCAGAGGAGGCGCAAAAUGCAGAUGGGGAGGUGCUUAGAGGGAACCUUAGCCCCAGGGAGGGACAGGGAGCCAGGAGAAGGUGGGGGUACUGCAGCUGAGGAGGAGGGGAGGCUGCUGGCCGCAGGGCAUUGAUCAUUUCCCCAGGAGCCCCAGUCUGGGGAGGCAGAGAUGGGCACAAAUUCCCAGCCUAGCCCUGCAGGUUCAGACCUCCUGUGAUGGACAGGGCUAGGGUGACGGAUGGAUGUGCUGUUCUGGAGAAUGGAUCAUCACAGUGGAUAGGAAGGUGCGCUAGGCAUAGGGAACGGCACAUGCAAAGGCUUGGCAGCGGGUAAGCUGCUUGUCAAGGAUUCAAGGUGGCUAUAAGGAUAGGUGCUAUCCACUAAGGGGCCCGAGUGUCAGGUGGAAGCUCUGAGCAUCCUUCAGUCAUGGGGAGCCCCAAGAGGUGUCUGCGCAGGGCGGAGGGGCGCCACAUUCUCGGGUGCCCAACUUACCCACUCCCAGGUCUCUGUUACCCUCGUUCUACAGGUGGGGAAACUGAGGCCCCGAGAGGGGAUGCCCAGGGAACCGCCUGGAUCUGCCUGCCAGCCCGCCCCCACGCCCCGGUGUGCGCGCCCCGGGAGCAGCACUCCCCGAAUCCGGGAGGCGGGAGGGGCGGGGCAGGUAGGGCUGGGGCUCCGCGGGUGAAGGCAGGGCCUGCGCGCUCACACAGACGCGCACUUGGGUCUGCAUGGACCCGACUACCCGGCUAGGGGACCGGAAGUGGGAUCGACCUUCCCCCCGGCCCUCCUGCACCCUAUCCUGCCCCGCACAAUGCCUGGGCGCCCCUCGGUACUAUUCGAAGCCCCAUUCCAGGCAGGGCCUCCCUUCAUUUGGGGCCGCAGCUCCAGUCCGGUAUCUUGGACGCGGGGAAUACCCCUAUUCUGCCCCGACCGUCCCAGGGAGGCUGCACCGCUGCGGAACCGAGCCCGAGGCCCCCCUCUUGCCUGCGGCCCCCCAGUUCCCGCGGGGCCCGACGCAGCCUGGCGCUUGCGUUCUGGCUUCCACCGGGGCCCCGCACUGUCCCCAGGCGCCCCGCGUUUAAGCACACUCCCAGCCGCCCCCGCCACGAGGGCCAGUCAGGACUCACCUGGUCGCGGCCGCCACCGCCGCCGCAGUCGCCGUCACACCAAACCGAGCCCGCCCCGUGGCUCC
ensembl:lncRNA